rnacentral:ncRNA from 2 species
GGACGAAUCUCUGGAGAGACUCCCUCCCAUUGGAGGAAAAAGAGCACCGAAGGAGUAAAUCCGUCUUUUAAUAGAGACGGGAUAAUCUCUCAGGUAAAAAGGACAGAGACAAGCGA